CUCAUCUUUAUCGUCGCAUUACGUCGCUUCUGUUCCAUGGCCGUUGUCUGUUCCAAUUCCAUCGCCUGUGCUCCACUGCUCCCUCUCCCUCAACUCGGGACUCAACAAGUCAUUCAUAGAGGGAAUAAAGAGGGAAGAGAGGAAUUGCUUGUAGUGUUACAGAGCCACAUUUAGAUCUUGAGGGUGACAAUGAGGAGGGUCAACAAGAUUUCACGUUCAGAAAUCAGAGGAGGAAUGGUGGGACAUUCUCUGUCUGUCUCUGCCUGUCUCCCUCAUGAAUUCACAGACAGUAGAGAGAGGGCAAGGAAUAGAGGAAUAGCCAAAGCACCAGGGAGCAAAAACAGGAGCGUUCUUCAAGUUUUUGGCUCUUCAUCAACCAUAUCACCAAGCGAAAGAGAAUGAUGGCCAAGGAGGGAGCUGACUGAAGCUUAAGAGGGAGCUGCGUUCCACUCACCCAACUGUUCUUCGAGUUUCUUUGCUAGUUUAUUCAAUUUCUGUUAACACAA